GUGCUUGCUUUGGCAUCGCAUUUACUAAAAUUGGAAUGAUACACAGAAGAUUAGCAUAGCCUGUGCACUAGGGUGACAUGCAAAUUUGUGAAACAUUCCAUGUACUU